rnacentral:rRNA from 1 species
AACGGGCAUUGCCUCGUAACGGCGAGUGAAGCGGCAAAAGCUCAAAUUUGAAAUCUAGCACCUUCGGUGUUCGAGUUGUAAUUUGAAGAUGGUAACCUUGGGUUUGGCUCUUGUCUAUGUUCCUUGGAACAGGACGUCAUAGAGGGUGAGAAUCCCGUCUGAUGAGAUGCCCAUUCCUAUGUAAGGUGCUAUCGAAGAGUCGAGUUGUUUGGGAAUGCAGCUCUAAGUGGGUGGUAAAUUCCAUCUAAAGCUAAAUAUUGGCGAGAGACCGAUAGCGAACAAGUACAGUGAUGGAAAGAUGAAAAGAACUUUGAAAAGAGAGUGAAAAAGUACGUGAAAUUGUUGAAAGGGAAGGGCAUUAGAUCAGACUUGGUGUUUUACGAUUAUCUUCUCUUCUUGAGUUGUGCACUCGUAUUUCACUGGGCCAGCAUCGAUUCGGAUGGCAAGAUAAUGGCAGUUGAAUGUGGCUUCACUUCGGUGGAGUGUUAUAGCUUCUGCUGAUAUUGCCUGUCUGGAUCGAGGGCUGCGUCUUUUGACUAGGAUGCUGGCGUAAUGAUCUAAUGCCGCCCUUGAAAAAAACCCCCG